AUGAACGCUGGCGGCGUGCCUCAUCCAUGCCAGUCGCGCGAACAGACGAGGAGCUUGCUCCUUUGACGUUAGCGGCGGACGGGUGAGUAACACGUAGGUAACCUACCUAUAAGACUGGGAUAACUUCGGGAAACCGGAGCUAAUACCGGAUAAUAUUUCGAACCGCAUGGUUCGAUAGUGAAAGAUGGCUUUGCUAUCACUUAUAGAUGGACCUGCGCCGUAUUAGCUAGUUGGUAAGGUAACGGCUUACCAAGGCAACGAUACGUAGCCGACCUGAGAGGGUGAUCGGCCACACUGGAACUGAGACACGGUCCAGACUCCUACGGGAGGCAGCAGUAGGGAAUCUUCCGCAAUGGGCGAAAGCCUGACGGAGCAACGCCGCGUGAGUGAUGAAGGUCUUCGGAUCGUAAAACUCUGUUAUUAGGGAAGAACAAACGUGUAAGUAACUGUGCACGUCUUGACGGUACCUAAUCAGAAAGCCACGGCUAACUACGUG
rnacentral:rRNA from 1 species